rnacentral:lncRNA from 1 species
AAAAAAGAUACAGACAUAUCUGCUAUAAUAGCAAAUACUUUUCAGAAGAAUGGAACUUUUGUGGUCACCAGAGGCAUUUUGUUACAUCACCCAUGCUGUGAGUUCUGGAAUGACGUGGCUAACGGAUCUGCCACCAUAUGCCAGAUGGCUGAGUGAUUCAAGGAUAACACAACAAUUAUUGAAUAUAAAAGGCUGAAUUGCCUACCUGGACCGUAGCACAACCCACAGAUGGUGCAGUAAAGUGACGAAAUGUUUGACACAAAGGAAGAGGAGUCUUUAACCAAUAUCAGUUCACUACCGCCUCCAUCUGUCAUAGAGGACAAUCAGAGACUUCGGGAACAGAAUCAAAUUCUUCAGCAAGAGAACAGAUUCUUGUGUGUUGAGAACAAAGCUUAUUGUCAACAGAAUCAAUUAAUCCUAAGACAGAAUAAAGCUCUUUGGGAACAGAACAGAUUCUUGUGUGUUGAGAACAAAGCUUAUUGUCAACAGAAUCAACUAAUCCUAAGACAGAAUAAAGCUCUUUGGGAACAGAACAGAAAUCUUCAGGAGAAGUAUAUACGCUCUUUAGAAGAAAAACUCUAUGAGAAAUGGCGAUAAUUCUUCCCACCGGGAUCUAGUGCCCACUGGGAAGAGGACAGAGUUCUCAGAGUACAGGAAAUGGUGCGUGAGAUGCAGGUCAAAGCUCGGUGGGAAGAGCUUUUAGCUCUAUGGGAGGAAGAAAAGGCCAGGUUUCUUCAAGAGUGCAACAGAGUCUUCGAGGGAAAAAAGAAAGCUCUCUGUGAUGAAAAAAAUGCCCUUGCUGCUCAGCAACGUCACCUUCUAAGAGAGAAUAGGGCACUUCAAGAUGACAAGAUGAUCCUAUAUAGACAGAGAAAAGUAUUCCAAAAUGAGCAAAAAUUCCUCCAUGAGUGGUAUAACAUCCUUCAAGAAAAGAAAUAAAUCAAUGAAAGUUUCAGAUGUUUAGAGGGAU